CAAUAAGUUUCUUUUAUCAUGUACGUUAAUUUUUCCGUUUUACCUGAAUUUUCCCAACUAUUAUGAAAACUGCUUGGAAAACCAAUAAAAUAAAAUCCUUAAAAUUUUCUUUUUUGAAAAGGUACUAUUCUUGAAAAUUAAAACAAGAUUUCUAGCUGAGGAGUGUUCACAUAUAAAAAAAAUAAAUAUCAAUGUAAAAACAAGUAUAUUUCUCGCUACGCCCCAAUU